GCGAAAGCCGUGCCGGCUGCGGGGGGAAUACGGAGUGGGCAAGUGGUCAGCGGAAGUACUGGGCGUAAAGCGGGCGCAGGCGGUGUGUUAAGGCUGCUGCGAAAUCCCCGAGCUCAACUUGGGAAUUGCAGUGGAUACUGGCAAGCUGGAGUACGGUAGAGGAAGGUGGAAUUCCCGGUGUAGCAGUGAAAUGCGUAGAGAUCGGGAGGAACACCAGUGGCGAAGGCGGCCUUCUGGACCAGUACUGACGCUCAUGCACGAAAGCGUGGGGAGCAAACAGGAUUAGAUACCCUAGUAGUC
rnacentral:rRNA from 1 species